AUUGAACGCUGGCGGCAUGCCUUACACAUGCAAGUCGAACGGUAACAGGUCUUCGGAUGCUGACGAGUGGCGAACGGGUGAGUAAUACAUCGAAACGUGCCCAGACGUGGGGGAUAACGAGGCGAAAGCUUUGCUAAUACCGCAUACGAUCUAAGGAUGAAAGCAGGGGACCGCAAGGCCUUGUGCGUUUGGAGCGGCCGAUGGCAGAUUAGGUAGUUGGUGGGAUAAAAGCUUACCAAGCCGACGAUCUGUAGCUGGUCUGAGAGGACGACCAGCCACACUGGGACUGAGACACGGCCCAGACUCCUACGGGAGGCAGCAGUGGGGAAUUUUGGACAAUGGGCGAAAGCCUGAUCCAGCAAUGCCGCGUGCAGGAUGAAGGCCUUCGGGUUGUAAACUGCUUUUGUACGGAACGAAAAGGCUCUGGCUAAUACCUGGGGCACAUGACGGUACCGUAAGAAUAAGCACCGGCUAACUACGUG
rnacentral:rRNA from 1 species